GACGAGGGGUCCUAGCGUUGUUCGGAAUCCCUGGGCGUAAAGCGUAUGUAGGCGGGCUUCUAAGUCAGGGGUGAAAUCCCAUGGCUCAACCAUGGAAUUGCAUUUGAAACUGGAAGUCUUGAGUGUGGGAGAGAUUGGUAGAAUACCUGGUGUAGUGGUGAAAUACGUAGAUAUCAGGUGGAAUACCGGUGGCGAAGGCGGCCAAUUGGCCCAACACUGACGCUGAGAUACGAAAGCGUGGGGAUCAAACAGG
rnacentral:rRNA from 1 species